rnacentral:rRNA from 1 species
AUUGAACGCUGGCGGCAGGCUUAACACAUGCAAGUCGAACGAGUGGCGGACGGGUGAGUAAUGUCUGGGAAACUGCCUGAUGGAGGGGGAUAACUACUGGAAACGGUAGCUAAUACCGCAUACCAUCGGAUGUGCCCAGAUGGGAUUAGCUAGUAGGUGGGGUAAUGGCUCACCUAGGCGACGAUCCCUAGCUGUUCUGCGAGGAUGACCAGCCACACUGGAACUGAGACACUGUCCAGACUCCUACGGUAGGCAGCAGUGGGUAAUAUUGCACAAGGGGCGCAAGCCUGAUGCAGCCAUGCCGCGUGUGUGAAGAAGGCCUCCGGGUUGUAAAGUACUUUCAGCGGGGAGGCGUUACCCGCAGAAGAAGCACCGGCUAACUCCGUGCCAGCAGCCGCGGUAAUAC